UCAGUGCUUACAAUUUAAAAGCGUUCUACUUAGAUUUUGUGGCAGACAAAAAAAACUUGAGUGGCCGGUAGAAAUGUUCAGUGACCUGCUACAGUGGCAGGUGAGGAAAAAGGUUAAUUUCAGACCCUGGAUCUAUCAGACAAAUAUCAUAUAGCAGAUGUAUUGUUACGAUUCUGUUAGUUUUGGUUUUGUUUGUUGUUUUUUUUGUGUUUGCUCUCCCCCUCCUGUUCUCUCUUUUUCUCCUCCCAGGGCAGCAACGAGGCACACCAGGUUUCAUUUAGAUGAUCAACUUCCCCAUAAAAGCCUGGCCUACACUAAUUCUGUCUCAUUAGGUUCCCUGGUGCCUUGCUGCUGCUCAGCUUCCGUGUUCUCCUGUGUGUGAGAUAUUCCAUAUGCUCAGGCCUCGUGUUCAUUCUUGCCUCGCCAUGAGCCUGCCAGCUCCCUGCCACCCUGCCUGCGUUUUUGCUUCCUGGUUGGAAAAUAAACUCUGUUUUCAUUUUUAC